rnacentral:rRNA from 1 species
UAAGCAUAUCAAUAAGCGGAGGAAAAGAAACCAACAGGGAUUKCCCUAGUAACGGCGAGUGAAGCGGCAACAGCUCAAAUUUGAAAUCUGGCUUCGGCCCGAGUUGUAAUUUGCAGAGGAUGUUUAUGGUGCGGUACCUUCCGAGUUCCCUGGAACGGGACGCCACAGAGGGUGAGAGCCCCGUCUGGUUGGAUACCAAACCUGUGUUAAACUCCUUCAACGAGUCGAGUAGUUUGGGAAUGCUGCUCUAAAUGGGAGGUAAAUCUCUUCUAAAGCUAAAUACCGGCCAGAGACCGAUAGCGCACAAGUAGAGUGAUCGAAAGAUGAAAAGCACCUUGAAAAGGGGGUUAAACAGUACGUGAAAUUGUUAAAAGGGAAGCGUUUAUGACCAGACUUGUGUCGUGUGGCUCAUCCGAGGUUCUCCCCGGUGCACUCCACACGGCUCAGGCCAACAUCGGUUCUCGUUGGGGGAUAAGAACAGUAGGAACGUGGCCCUUUUCGAAGGGUGUUAUAGCCUGCUGUACGAUACCCUGAUGGGGACCGAGGACCGCGCUUCGGCUAGGAUGUUGGCGUAAUGGUCAUUAGCGACCCGUCUUGAAACACGGACCAAGGAGUCGUCCAUUAGAGCGAGCGUUUGGGUGUAAAACCCGCACGCGUAAUGAAAGUGAAAUUAGGUGAGAGCUUCGGCGCAUCAUCGACCGAUCCUGAAGUUUACGGAUGGAUUUGAGUAAGAGUUUUAACGGACGGACCCGAAAGACAGUGAACUAUGCUUGAAUAGGGUGAAGCCAGAGGAAACUCUGGUGGAGGCUCGCAGCGGUUCUGACGUGCAAAUCGAUCGUCAAAUUUGAGCAUGGGGGCGAAAGACUAAUCGAACUGUCUAGUAGCUGGUUACCGCCGAA